rnacentral:rRNA from 1 species
CUGAACCAGCCAAGUAGCGUGAAGGAUGACUGCCCUAUGGGUUGUAAACUUCUUUUAUAUGGGAAUAAAGUUUUCCACGUGUGGCUUUUUGUAUGUACCAUAUGAAUAAGGAUCGGCUAACUCCGUGCCAGCAGCCGCGGUAAUACGGAGGAUCCGAGCGUUAUCCGGAUUU